CUUCCCAGUCAAUAUUGUCGAACAGCACAUUUCCCAGGAGGCAGUAGUGGUUUGCUUGCUAGUAGCAGCAGCAGCCUAUCCAAAAAGCAAAACCAUGGCUCUCAUAAGCCAACACCUCACUCUUCCUCCACCAUUUCCCUUCCUUCACAAUCACUCUCCGAACUCUCCCUUCUCAAAGCCUUGCCUCUUUGUGUUCUCCAAAAACCUCAGACUUUUCUCUCUGCACGCAGCUUCCUCCUCCUCCACUCCCACUCCCACUUCUCACUCCUUAACCCCCAUUUUCCUGCCCUUUCUCCAAGACGGCGAAGAAAAACCAGAAGACCUGCAAGAACUUGAAGAAGAAGAAGAAGAAGAAGAAGAAGAGGAGGACCCAGAUGAUCCAAUUCUCAGAUUCUUCAAGUCUCGCAGUUCAACCCAGGACUCUCAACGUGAAGGCAAGCUCUCUCUUCAAAAGAACCGUCGCUCUGCUUGGCGUUUAGCUGACGAUACCCAACUCGUAGACGAAUCAGAAACUGACUCUGGCAUCGAAGGAGUGCUUGAACAACAAAAGGAACAAGCCAGAGCAUUGAAUUUUAAUUCAAGGGCGUUGUCUGAGGAAAUUGUCGAAGAAAUUUUGCAAAAAGCAAGGACGUUGCCUCAAAACUUGACAUUGGGAGAGGUAUUGGGAGGUUUUGAAGGAAGGGUUGGUGAGAAAGAGUCUGUGAAAGUGUUGGAGUUGAUGGGCAAGGAGGGCCUUUUAAUGGGUUGCUUGUAUUUCUAUGAGUGGAUGGGUUUGCAGGAAACUUCUAUAGUUACUCCUAGGGCGUGUUCAGUUUUGUUUCCUAUGUUGGGGAGAGCUGGAAUGGGCGAUAAGUUGAUGAUUUUGUUUAGGAAUUUACCAGCUAAGAAGGAGUUCAGGGAUGUUCAUGUUUAUAAUGCUGCAAUUUCUGGCUUAAUGUGCUCUAAGAGGUAUGAUGAUGCUUGGGAGGUAUAUGAGGCAAUGGAAGCAAAUAAUACCCUUCCGGAUCAUGUGACAUGUUCAAUUAUGAUUACUGUCAUGAGAAAGGUUGGCCGUAGUGCAAAAGAUUCAUGGCAGUUCUUUGAGAGAAUGAAUAGGAAAGGCGUCAAAUGGAGUCAAGAAGUUUUGGGUGCUCUUAUAAAAUCAUUCUGUGAUGAGGGGCUGAAAAGUGAAGCCCUUAUCAUUCAAGUAGAAAUGGAGAAGAAAGGGGUCUCAUCAAAUGCCAUUGUUUAUAAUACUUUAAUGGAUGCUUUUUGUAAUUCCAACCAAGUUGAAGAAGCUGAAGGUCUCUUUGCUGAGAUGAAAUCAAGAGGUAUCAAACCAACAGCAGCCACCUUCAAUAUUUUAAUGAGUGCAUACAGCAGAAAAAUGCAGACUGAGAUUGUUGAGAAGCUGCUGGUAGAAAUGCAGGAUAUGGGAUUGGAGCCAAAUGUCAAAUCCUAUACAUGUCUUAUCAGUGCGUAUGGGAGGCAGAAGAAGAUGAGUGACAUGGCUGCAGAUGCAUUUUUGAGGAUGAAGAAAGCUGGUAUAAGUCCAACUUCACAUUCUUAUACAGCUCUCAUUCAUGCAUUUUCAGUCAGUGGCUGGCAUGAGAAAGCUUACAUUGCAUUUGAGAACAUGCAAAAAGAAGGCUUAAAGCCCUCCAUAGAAACAUAUACUGCUUUACUGGAUGCAUUUAGGCGUGCUGGGGACGCACAGAUGUUGAUGAAAAUAUGGAAAUUGAUGAUCAAAGAGAAGAUUGAAGGGACUAAGGUGACAUUUAACACUCUUCUUGAUGGAUUUGCUAAACAAGGUCACUAUACUGAAGCAAGAGAUGUGAUUUCUGAAUUUGGGAAUAUAGGUUUGCAGCCAACAGUGAUGACAUAUAAUAUGCUGAUGAAUGCAUAUGCACGGGGAGGGCAACACUCAAAGUUGCCGCAGCUGUUGAAAGAGAUGGCAGCUCUCAAUUUAAAACCUGAUUCUGUAACAUACUCGACCAUGAUCUAUGCCUAUGUCCGUGUUCGUGAUUUCAAAAGAGCAUUUUUCUACCACAAGCAAAUGGUAAAAAGUGGACAGAUGCCAGAUGCCAGGUCUUAUGAGAAGCUUAGGGCAAUUUUGGAUGUAAAAGCUGCAAGAAAGAACAAGAAGGACAGGAGUGCUAUACUCGGUAUAAUUAAUAGCAAAAUGGGGUUGUUGAAAAUUAAGAAGAAGGGAAAGAAAGAUGAGUUCUGGAAGAACAAGAAAAAGCGCUACGUGAGAACUGAUAACUCACAGUGAUAAUCCUAUUAAUGGAGUUGUGGCACGAAGACCUAUCUUCAGCUCAUCAUAUUCUGGCAUUCCCUUCAAACUUUCAGAAAGUUUAUCAGAUAGUUGUUUCGUCUCAGGGCACACUGUCUAAGUUGGGAACUUGGAGGAAAGCAAAACCACACCAAAGUUUUAUGGUGAAACACUCUACAAGAUUUGUAUGGCCCUUCGCUAAACAAGAGGAUUGGCUGCAGCUGAUGUAUGCCAGUUUCCAUUAAUGUGACUAGUCUAAUCUUAUUCGGCGUGGAUAAAAUAUGAGCCUCUUGCUUUUGUAUGUUUUAGAAUUUUGGAGGAAAUUUCAUUUCAACCCAGCUUUUCUGCUGUGGCUAGGAGGAGUAAGCUGACUGACAACCAUUGCAGAUUAGUAGGUUUACAGAUUCUUGUUCAUCCUGGUGCACAAGUCCCGGCAGAUUUCUCUUCCCAGGUCCACUUCUUUUCUAGGAUUGGCCGUGGCCUCUUCAGUCUUCAAGAUGACAAUAGCAACUCCAUAUACAGUCGUAAUUAUUCCAAAAUCCAGUUGCAACAUCUUUUUCAUAUGCUUUGAUGCGAAGAAUCAUCAUGAUAUCUGGCUUUCUUUGAAAAUCUAAGAAUGAAAGGAACCACAUGAGAAUCAGGAAGCCAAAAUCUCUUGAGAAUUCAACCUUGUCUGAUUGGUGAACUAGAACUCCAUUCACAUCAAGUUGAUGAAGGCUCAACUUGACGGUUUUUCUAUGUAGUUCUGGUUUACACUUCUACUUACUUUAGGCUUGUUAAACUUGUUCUCAAACUUUCGGUUCAAUGAAAGUUCAAAUUUCCAUUUCUUUA